GAAGCUGGUCAAACUUGGUCAUUUAGAGGAAGUAAAAGUCGUAACAAGGUUUCCGUAGGUGAACCUGCGGAAGGAUCAUUAAAAUACUUUUCAAAACUUUGUUUUGAAUUAAAAGCCACCACCGUUAAGUUCAAAAAUCUAAAACAAAACUUUCAACAACGGAUCUCUUGGUUCUCGCAUCGAUGAAGAACGCAGCGAAUUGCGAUACGUAGUAUGACUUGCAGACGUGAAUCAUCGAAUCUUUGAACGCAUAUUGCGCCUUGGGGCAUUCCCCAAGGCAUGCCUGUUUGAGCGUGAUAUCUUCUCACCGUUGGUGGAUUUGUUUCUAAAUAUCAUGCCACAGUGAAGUCUACGCUUUCACUGCUUUUUCCCCUCAAAUCAGGUAGGACUACCCGCUGAACUUAAGCAUAUCAAUAAGCGGAGGAAAAGAAACCAACAGGGAUUGCCUCAGUAACGGCGAGUGAAGCGGCAAGAGCUCAACUUUGGAAUCGCUGCGGCGAGUUGUAGUCUGGAGGUGGCCGGUCCCGGCGCCAGCGCGCAGCCAAGUCCUUUGGAACAAGGCGCCUGAGAGGGUGACAGCCCCGUGGCAGUUUGUGCUGGUGCCGCCUCGGCCCACCGACGAGUCGAGUUGUUUGGGAAUGCAGCUCUAAGUGGGUGGUAAAUUCCAUCUAAAGCUAAAUACCGGCGAGAGACCGAUAGCGAACAAGUACAGUAAUGGAAAGAUGAAAAGCACUUUGAAAAGAGAGUGAAACAGUACGUGAAAUUGUUGAAAGGGAAGGGCUUGCACCCAGACACGGCCUUCUGGCCGGGCCAGCAUCGGGUGGGAGGGAGCGACAACGAGCAGUCGAUGUAGUACAGCCCUCUGGGCUGUGCAUUAUACGUCUUGCUUUCUGGCUCCUCUCCCGCCCGAGGACCGCAGCAAUAASGAUGCUGGCRCAAUGGUUGCAAGCCACCCGUCUUGAAACACGGACCA
rnacentral:rRNA from 2 species